rnacentral:rRNA from 1 species
UACGAAGGGGGCUAGCGUUGCUCGGAAUGCCUGGGCGUAAAGGGCGCGUAGGCGGACUGCACAGUCAGGCGUGAAAUUCCUGGUCUUAACCUGGGGACUGCGUCUGAGACGUGUGAUCUAGAGUGAGGAAGAGGGUCGUAGAACUUCCAGUGUAGAGGUGAAAUUCGUAGAUAUUGGAAAGAACACCGGUGGCGAAGGCGGCGACCUGGUCCUUGACUGACGCUGAGGCGCGAAAGCGUGGGGAGCAAACAGG